UGGGGAAUAUUGCACAAUGGGGGAAACCCUGAUGCAGCGACGCCGCGUGAGCGAUGAAGUAUUUCGGUAUGUAAAGCUCUAUCAGCAGGGAAGAAUUAGGACGGUACCUGACUAAGAAGCACCGGCUAAAUACGUGCCAGCAGCCGCGGUAAUACGUAUGGUGCAAGCGUUAUCCGGAUUUACUGGGUGUAAAGGGAGCGUAGACGGAGAGGCAAGUCUGAUGUGAAAAACCCGGGGCGUCAACCCCGGCAGCUGCUAUUGGAAAACUGUUUUUUCUAGAGUGUCGGAGAGGUAAGUGGAAUUCCUAGUGUAGCGGUGAAAUGCGUAGAUAUUAGGAGGAACACCAGUGGCGAAGGCGGCUUACUGGACGAUGACUGACGUUGAGGCUCGAAAAGCGUGGGGAGCAAACAGGAUUAGAUACC
rnacentral:rRNA from 1 species